GGGAGCUUGCUCCCUUAGGUCAGCGGCGGACGGGUGAGUAACACGUGGGUAACCUGCCUGUAAGACUGGGAUAACUCCGGGAAACCGGGGCUAAUACCGGAUGCUUGAUUGAACCGCAUGGUUCAAUCAUAAAAGGUGGCUUUUAGCUACCACUUGCAGAUGGACCCGCGGCGCAUUAGCUAGUUGGUGAGGUAACGGCUCACCAAGGCGACGAUGCGUAGCCGACCUGAGAGGGUGAUCGGCCACACUGGGACUGAGACACGGCCCAGACUCCUACGGGAGGCAAGCAGUAGGGGAAUCUUUCGGCAUUGGACGAAAGUCGGACGGAGCAACCCCGCGUGGAGUGAUGAAGGUUUUCGGAUCGUAAAACUCUGUUGUUAGGGAAGAACAAGUACCGUUCGAAUAGGGCGGUACCUUGACGGUACCUAACCAGAAAGCCACGGCUAACUACGUGCCAGCAGCCGCGGUAAUACGUAGGUGGCAAGCGUUGUCCGGAAUUAUUGGGCGUAAAGCGCGCGCAGGCGGUUUCUUAAGUCUGAUGUGAAAGCCCCCGGCUCAACCGGGGAGGGUCAUUGGAAACUGGGGAACUUGAGUGCAGAAGAGGAGAGUGGAAUUCCACGUGUAGCGGUGAAAUGCGUAGAGAUGUGGAGGAACACCAGUGGCGAAGGCGACUCUCUGGUCUGUA
rnacentral:rRNA from 1 species